rnacentral:rRNA from 1 species
UACGUAGGCAGCAAGCGUUGUUCGGAGUUACUGGGCGUAAAGGGUGUGUAGGCGGUUCCUUAAGUUUGCUGUGAAAUCUCCCGGCUUAACCGGGAGGGUGCGGUGAAUACUGAGGGACUAGAGUACGGGAGAGGUAAGUGGAAUUCCUGGUGUAGCGGUGAAAUGCGCAGAUAUCAGGAGGAACACCAAUUGCGAAGGCAGCUCGCUGGGACGUUACUGACGCUGAGACGCGAAAGCGUGGGGAGCAAACAGG